rnacentral:rRNA from 1 species
GAUGAACGCUGGCGGCGUGCCUAAUACAUGCAAGUCGAGCGAACGGACGAGAAGCUUGCUUUUCUGAUGUUAGCGGCGGACGGGGUAGUAACACGUGGAUAACCUACCUAUAAGACUGGGAUAACUUCGGGAAACCGGAGCUAAGACCGGAUAAUAUUUUGAACCGCAUGGUUCAAAAGUGAAAGACGGUCUUGCUGUCACUGAUAGAUGGAUCCGCGCUGCAUUAGCUAGUUGGUAAGGUAACGGCUUACCAAGGCAACGAUGCAUAGCCGACCUGAGAGGGUGAUCGGCCACACUGGAACUGAGACACGGUCCAGACUCCUACGGGAGGCAGCAGUAGGGAAUCUUCCGCAAUGGGCGAAAGCCUGACGGAGCAACGCCGCGUGAGUGAUGAAGGUCUUCGGAUCGUAAAACUCUGUUAUUAGGGAAGAACAUAUGUGUAAGUAACUGUGCACAUCUUGACGGUACCUAAUCAGAAAGCCACGGCUAACUACGUG